rnacentral:rRNA from 1 species
CAAUAAGCGGAGGAAAAGAAACCAACAGGGAUUGCCCCAGUAACGGCGAGUGAAGCGGCAACAGCUCAAAUUUGAAAUCUGGCCUUCGGGUCCGAGUUGUAAUUUGGAGAGGAUGUUUCUGGCAAGGCGCCGUCCGAGUUCCUUGGAACAGGACGCCAUAGAGGGUGAGAGCCCCGUACCGGCGGAUGCCUAGCCUUUGUGAAACUCCUUCGACGAGUCGAGUAGUUUGGGAAUGCUGCUCAAAAUGGGAGGUAAAUUUCUUCUAAAGCUAAAUAUUGGCCAGAGACCGAUAGCGCACAAGUAGAGUGAUCGAAAGAUGAAAAGCACUUUGAAAAGAGGGUUAAAAAGUACGUGAAAUUGUUGAAAGGGAAGCGCCUAUGACCAGACUUGCGGCCUACGGACCAUCCGGCGUUCUCGCCGGUGCACUCCGUGGGUUGCAGGCCAGCAUCGGUUUUCCUAGGGGGAUAAAGGCCGCAGGAACGUAGCUCUUUCGGGAGUGUUAUAGCCUGCGGUGUCAUGCCUCUGGGGAGACCGAGG